rnacentral:lncRNA from 1 species
GAUAAUAUUUUCUUUUUAAACAGCAAAUUUUAUUCAUAAUAAGAUAACCUAACACAAGAAGUGAAGAGGCUAUAGGGGAAAGACACAAGGUAACAAUACAUAAAGACAACUAAACCAAUGCUAAAAAGCCACAUCACAAAACCACCCAAACAACCCUUAAUACAAUAUAAUUGAACCAGUUUCCAUCAACACCACAUCAAUAGACCCCUAAAUAAUUGAACAAAAACCAGCCACCUAAACUUCCUGGUACCAGUAAAUUACAAUUACUUAGUAGAUAUUGAUAUGUCUUGUUGCAUUGAUGUUUCAGAAAUGUGUGGCUGGAGGGUAAUCUUUGGGUCGUAACUUCCACAAUAUCUUCGAGCAGCGAUUGAUUUUGGGAGGUUUGAAUUUUGGCAAGGCAGCAUCAACAGCAAAAUGUUGAGGAGCAAGCAUAAAAGCAGCAAGGAAUAACACUAAUAAGGAUAAGAAAAAGGAAUUAGCCAUUUUAAGAAGUGAUAUUAUUAUUGUGUUGGUGCAUAAUACAUAGGUAGUUAACUGGCUUUAUACUAGUUAGAGACUCAAUGUGAUUUUUUGGUCAAUCUAAGUCAUUGUGUAUGAAUUCAAUCAUUCAACACGUAGGUUCCAUGCAUUUGGAAAACUAGUUGAUGAUUAAUAAUGUUCAAUAUAUUAGGCUAUGAAUUGUUUAUGAAUUGAAUUAUUGAACAAUGUUACAUGUUCCAUGUAUUUGCAACUAGUUGAUGAUUGGUAGCUACCUAUCCUUUAAUUUUCCACACAACAAGACCAUUCAGUAAUAUUGGCUCUAUAUCUCCACUUGUUUGCCCACACCGUGGUUUAGCUGAAAAAACAGUGUACUGGAGGUGGAACAUGUUUUAAUAACAUUAAUAUGUAGAUAUUAUUAUUUAUGCAUUGAACCCUGUAUUGAUAAAAAUUCCACAUAGGUUACUUUAUUUGUCAUUUAUGCUUGAAUAUAUAAAUACAAAACAGUGUUUUUUCUUAUUAAAAUAGGGGGAUUUUAGGCUAGCUUUUGUUAUUCUAAUUAUACCCUUAAAUAAAUAAAAAAUCAAAUAAUGUAAUAUUGUUGGUAUAAUUAAAAAAAUAAGAAUUUUUGUUAUAUUAUUGUUGUCAUUGAGUAAGAUAAAUAUGGUUUGUUGAGUUUGUUACAUUUGAAAGUCACAUAUAUUUAUACUUAUAAUUUUAAUCUAUAUCAAAGAGUUUAUAUAAAAUAUCGGUUGUAAUUUACACGCAAAAUUUCUAUAAAUUAUCGUAGAUAAUCUAUACACGUUAACGUAUUAAAAAGAGUAGAAAGAUGCGCAUGUGACUGCCCGUAUUUUGGUCCCUUAACUUCUCUCUCUUACACAUUUUGGUCCUUUCCAUUAGUUUAAUUCAAAAACGUUGAAUUUUCUUCAUCUUCUUCUCCUCUUUUUCAUCUUCAUAUCAUCUCCAUCAACCUUCAACAACAAGAAUCCCAAAAAAAAUUAUAGAAGAAAAUGAAGAAAACCUAACGUUUUUGAAUUAAAACUAACGGAAAUGGCCAAAAUGUGUAACAGAGAGAAGUUAUGAGACCAAAAUAAAUCGAAUUUUAAUUAAGGGAUCAAAGCGAUACUACCUAAAUAGUUAAGGGACCAAAAAUGCAAUUUAGCCUAUAAUCUAAUAUCAUCGUUAUUAAAUAUUAUUUUAUAAUCUAAUAUCAUUGUUAUUAAAUUUUAUAGCAAGUAUCAAACGAAGAACCGAGAGUUGUUGUUUGAUAUUGUUAUUUAAUCAUGUCUCGUAUAUCAAAGGAAGGAUCGAGAGGUAAAAUUUGAUAUUGGAAUAAAUGAGAUUGUAAACGAUAAGCAAAAUAUGAGAAAAAUUUUGUGACUCUUAUGACAAUAAGGUUAUAAGGUUGCACUCAAAAAGUUUUAAUGAUUAUCAACUAUGAGAAUAGGUUUAAUUACUGUUGAGAUACAUUCAUGUAAUCUGAUAGGAAACAUGAAAUAUCAAAGAACAUCUUGUCCUUAGAAACGAAUAGAGAAAUAUAUAGGGAAUGUUUAGAAUUUAACUUUAUGAUGAAAACCUCAAUCUCAUGACGCAUUUUAAUAUCUGAAUUUUAAUCUAAAAAAUCAUUGCACUUAAUCAACUUAUCUUUUUCAGCUAAUCAAGACUAAAAAUUAGAUUAGAAUUUACUUUAAGUCCAUGUGAAUCGAUAUUUUACUAGAACCGUACACUUGCAGAAACCUAUCAAAGACCCUAUUGAUGUAUAUGGAAUCGUAGUUACCUAUCAAAGCUACAAAAUUUAGAUCGGACUUGGGGGUCUUUCUAACCGUUCUUGAAGUCGUAGGGGGGUUCGUUUACCGGAUGUAGCAUCGAAGGCUUGAGUGCAGAGUUCGAAGGGGUGCACAAGUAUUCAAGGAUCCGAAGAUUCAAGAAGCACCAAAUUUAAGGGUUACUUGGAGUUUGGGGGAGUGUUUUACAUAGGAGUUGAAGAAUUAGGUUUUAAUUUCAAGGAACUCUUGUAAACACAUUGUAUUCAACAUUUGUUACAUGGUGGAUGAUCUCGGUGAAGAUGUACUUAAUCAAGAAGAGUAGAGGUAGAUCUAGAGAGGACGAGAAAGAGCAAUCUAUUAUAAAAAUAUCGGUGUGAUCUCUCUUUCCCUAUCCUCUUUACUUUUAGAUAUUGCAUGUGAUUAAUUGAAUAAUUUUUAGGAUAAUUUCUAGUGUUGAUCUAAGUUGUUUUUCAUUGAAAAUCAAUCUAAUUCAUUGAAUUAGGUUUCAUAUAAUUUGCUUAGAUCAAUUGAAUGCAAAAUCUAUUCAAUUCUUCAAUUACACAUGUAUUGUGUUUUUUAUUUGAUAACUUAGUAAUUUUGUUCAUAUAGAUUUGGUUUGAAAUUGUCUAUUGUUUUAUACAUUGUUCAAGGAAUAUUAAAGUUUGAUUGUAUAAUAACAUUUAGUAACAAGGUGAUUGCAACACUUGAAAAAUUGUUAGCUGAUAUAGUGAUAUAGUAACAAUUGAGUAAAAGUGUUAGAUCCAAUACAACAAGUACCAUCCCUAAAAAAAAAACAAAAAUACAAGUAACAAUAGAACUCAUUCGUUAUUCAUUCACGUGUUAAAAAAUUUAGCUGAAAAAACAGUGUACUGGAGGUGGAACCUGUUUUAAUAACAUUAAUAUAUAGAUAUUAUUAUAUAUGCAUUGAACCCUGUAUGAUUUAUUGAUAAAAAUUCCACAUUACGUUAUUUGUCAUUUAUGCUUGAAUAUAAAAAUACAAAACAGUGUUUUUUCUUAUUAAAUUUUUUAAUUAAUUUAUAAAGACUUUUAAUAACUUAGUGUUUACCAAUUGCACUCAUUAAUUCUUAAUUAUAGAAUAAUUGUAAACCCAUUUUAGAUCCUCCAAAAAUGAAGAAAGCUCAUUCUUAGGACAACACAAAAUGGAAGAAACUCAAGAUUGUUGGCAUAUUGGUAGACUAUUUCUGUUUGACAAAUUCAAUAAUCUAGUUUAUAGUUUAUAAGUCCGAAUGAUUAAAAAAUAUAUGUUUCAUAACUGUUUUUUCAUCACAAGUUUUAUAGUUUAUUUUAUUAGUUUGUAGGUUUUUUUUUAGACUUUAUUCCAAAUGUGGAAUAACGUUUGAGAUUAUAGUUUAUCCUUUAUAAUCUAUAUUAUAUAUAAUGAAAAUAGGGGGAUUUUAGGCUAUCUUUUUUGUUAUUCUAAUUAUAUCCUUAAAUAAAAAGAAAUCAAAUAAUGUAAUAUUGUUGGUGUAAUUAAAAAAAUAAGAAUUUUUGUUAUAUUAUUGUUGUCAUUGAGAAAGAUAAAUAAAUAUAGUUUGUUGAGUUUGUUACAUUUGAAAGUCACAUAUAUUUAUACUUAUAAUUUCAAUCUAUAUCAAAGAGUUUAUAUAAAAUAUCGGUUGUAAUUUACAAGCAGAAUUUCUAUAAAUUAUCAUAGAUAAUCUAUACACGUUCACGUAAUAAAAAAAAGCAGAAAGAUGCGCACGUAAAUGCCCGUCUUUGCACUAGUUUAUUAUAAAAAAAAUGCUAAAAUGUUCAGUUCUUUUGGUCAUACUGCACAAAUUAUUUGGUAGCUUGACAUAUAUGUUACUGAUGUAAACUUCACUCUCACUUUAAUUAUGUUACUCCACAGUCCUCUAAAAUUGUGUUUCUCUUUUUUCCCUAAAACUUCUCUUUUGGAUUAUUCAAUCCGAAUUAAGUUGUUUCUGGUUUGAAAUAUAUAAUUUGAACUGCUUCUAUAUAUGUUUUCUCUUUAUUUUGUGGCUAUUUAUUAAUUGUGUGUAUAUCUGAUUUUAACACUUUCAAAUAUUGAUCGCAUGGGCUGUGUUAGGAAUGAUAGAAUUUCCUUGACUGCAUCUUCUAGGUGAGAGCAGACGUAGAAGAAUGUACUAGAAAGGAGAGUGGUCAAGGGCAGGGGCAUGGUCCGCAAUGCUGAGACGCAGAGAGGUCGUCAGUUCCUAGACAUUAGUGGAAGUUUAGGGCGCAUCGGGGAACAUGUCAGAAAUAUUUAACUUUUUUAGUGAAUAUUUUUUUAAUUUAAAAUUUUUAAAGAGUGUCUCGAAGAUACUCGUUGGCAAGACUGAUAAGUUGUAGUUAAUGGUGUUUUUAACAUUUAAAUUCAAUAAUAUUUACGUUGUUUUAGUUUUAAUUUAGAUUCAUUUUACUGGAAAGCAUUAGUUUUUGUUUUCAUAAUCAAAAAUUUGAAGAACAGUGUACCUGGAUCAAGAGCGAGGAUAAAGAGCCAUAAAGCAACAACAUGGAUUGUUCGUGGUUCCAUCUGGGUUGUGCACUUCUUAAAAUGUCAGAAUUUCAAAAGUUGAAGUACAAGCACGACCGUGCCCCCCAACACCGUAGAAAUAAGCAUGAUUGUGCGCUUCAGAAGCACGACUUUGCACCCCUCAAAACAUGUCAAAAGUUGGAAAGGUGAUCAUGACCGUGUACCCUUGAAGCAUGACUGUGCACCCUUGAAGCACGACCGUGCGUCUUGUGCAGAGAAAAUAGUUGUUACAACCUUUUAGAAUUCUUUAGUUUAUGGCUUGUAACUCGUUUUUAAUAUAUUAUAUGAGGCUCUAGGCUAUAAAUAUACCUCACUUCUAAGGAAAAAAGAAUCUUAGAUACUUGUAAACUUACUCUAAAGUUGAAAACAUAAUUUUGCAAUGUUCUAAGUUCUUUGUUCUUUAUUUUUCAUUUCUUUACAUUUGUGUUCUUUACUCUUCUGUUCUUUACAUUUUAAGUUAUUUACUUUCAUGUCUUUUACUUUCUUGUCUUUAUAUAUUAAUCAUUCGUCUACUAUGAGAGAGAGAGAGAGAGAGAGAGAGAGAGAGAGAGAGAGAGAGAGAGAGAGAGAGAGAGAGAGAGAGAGAGAGAGAGAGAGAGAGAGAGAGAGAGAGAGAGAGAGAGAGGUGAUAUUAGUGCAGAACACAUAGCAAAAGAGAAUGAAAAAAGAAGAUCCCGAUCCUUUUCUAAAGGAGAAUCAACCAUCUAUAUAACGACAAAUUUAAACCCAUCAAGUACAAAAAAACGAUCAAGGUAAAAAAUAUAAACGGAACAUUGAACAAUUUUAUUAAAUUAUAAUAAACUUCAAAGGGUAAAAUUGGUUUUUAGAUAAACAUAUAAGGGGUUACCAAAUAGGGUUACAAGUUAUAAGCUUGUGAAGAAAACGUCUUGGUUGACUUCAAUGACUAAAGUAACUAAGACCAAAGAGUGAAUGAUUUAAUUCGGAUUUUAUCUAAGUCAUUGACCAAAAUUACAUCUUGUUACACUUUUAAGGAGAAAAAUGGUUGUUUUCUCAAUAAUGUUUUCCAAUAUUAAAUUAAUGUUGUUUUCUGCCUUAGGGAUGUUACCAAUUUGUUAUGUUGGAGUUACCUUUAGUGCUAAGAAACCUUUAGACCAAUAAAAAUAUUUUGAGUCCCUUUUAAAGUGGUAAAUACACUAAUAUAAAGUCAUUGUCAAUUGAUGUUAGGACUAUUUAUUAAUAAUGCAAUAUUUACUUGUUGUUCUUUGGUAGACACUUAAGGUGCGUUUGAUUUGUUAAAAAAUGAAGGACAGAACAACUCUAGUUGUCCAGUGUUUGAUUUGUAAAACUGUUUUAGGUACAAGACAAUUUGGAGGCAAGGGACAGGACAAAAACUCAUUUUUGUCCCUCACCAACCCACAACACAACUUUUUGUCCCACGUACAAGUUGUCUAAAAUACCAAAAUAGCAUUUUGUCCCUCAAAAAUCGUAUAAAACAAAAAAUUACUCAAUGCCAUAAAAAAUUUGUCCUGUCUUGUUCUGCCUUGUGUUGUACUGUUCUAUCUUGUACUGUUUUGUCCGGUACUUGCUGUUUUGCAAACCAAACACACCCUUAGAGGUCAUUUUUGUGGACUGUAGGUACCUAAAGCUCUAUGAACUUGGUUAUAUCAUAGAUAACGUCGUAUUGGAAAAACGGAAAUGAAAGACUCAUCUCUCACUCUACUUAGGGCUAGCCAAUUGUCAAACGCCAAUUGUCAAACUUGGUUACAAUUAAUUUUUUUUGGAAAACUUAUUUUGAAUUUUCUACAUGUCAUGAAAAAUUCAAAUUUCUGUUUUCUGAUUAGAAGAUCAAUAAACGGUUCAAUAUCAUCACAAUCUCCAAAUCAUAACUUCAUUCAUUUGCAAAUCUAGAGCACAUAUAUCACGAUUUUCUAUCAUGAUUUGCAUUGAUAUAAGUAAGUAUAACACAUAUAUUUUACUCUUAACUUAGCCAUACAUUGCGGAUUUACUUAGUAGAUAGAGUAAUGUUUUUUUUUAAACAACAAAUUUUAUUCAUAAGCUAACCCAACACAAGAAGUGAAGAGGCUAGAGGAAACACACAAGACAACAGAUACAUAAAGACAACUAAACCACCCAAACAAUCCUUAAUACAAUAGAAUAACAUCAGAAAAACCAGCCACCUAAACUUCCUAGUACCAUGAAACAAUGUCAGGUCGCGUUGAUUUUUAGGCUGGAGGGCAAUGUUUGUUUCGGAAGUUCUCGACUUUCUUCAACAAAGGGUAGUGCUUUUUGCAGAAAUCGGGUAUAUGGGGUAUAUGUACUGGUUUAUCUUUUGGGAUUAAAUUUUUGAUUUUUGGGAUUAAUGCUUCAACUGCGGGACCAAAGCUAACAGCAUCAGCAAAAUGUUGUUGAGGAGCAAGCAUAAAAGCAGCAAGGAAUAACACUAAUAAGGAUAAGAAAAAUGAAUUAGCCAUUUUAAGAAGUGAUAUAAUUAUUAGUGUUGGUGCAUAAUACAUAUGGAGUAUACUGGUUUUAUACUAGUUAGAGACUCAAUGUGAGUUUAUGGUCGAUCUAAGUCAUUUACUAAAUGUCAAAAUUGUGUAUGAAUUGAAUUAUUCAACAAUGUUACAAGUUCCAUGUAGUUGCUACUAGUUUAUGAAUUGAAUUAUUCAUUCGAUUCUCCGCGCGACUCAGGUGCAUGCCGAAACCGUUUUAAUUAUAUGAGCAAAUUAAUAAAUAAAUGGGUUGGUGCUUAUGAUGGUGCUAAGCGUUUGCAAGGAAGCGGUUGGUCGAAAGAUGAUGUUUUGGAAAAAGCCCAUGAAUUAUAUGUGAAACACCCCGUUUUCCCAACUUGAAUUUUUUUGCAUAAAUCAGAGUAAAACAACUAAACAGGAUGCUGCACUUCUUUCAAAUCUGAAUAUAGUAAAAUUACUAAUUAUCUCAAUCAUCAAAUUAAAUCUUAUUGCAGCGGAAAUUAGUUCAACGUUUAAAACAACCUUGGCACAAAGGCCUCAAUGUAAAAUCUCAUAAAAUUAUUCCAACAACAUGUUCAUAAAACUUCAUAAAAUAAUACGUAAGGAACGUAAAGCAACAACAAAAUUCUCAUCCCGUUACGUAUCAGAGCACCUAAGACACACGUGAGAGAAUCCACUCACGACCGCAACUAUUCUUGGUUACCUGCAAGUUACUCAAUUGUGAGGGCAACAUUUCCAAGCAGAAGGGGUGAGAUUUCACAUUCAAUAAUAAUAAGCAUAUAAUUCAUCAAAUUCAUUUAACAACUUAAACUUCAUCAAUUAGUAACACUAACUCUUCGCAUAAAUACUUCAUUAAUUAAUAACAUUAACUCUUCCUAUAAGACUUCAUUAAUAACUCAAUCAACUUCUAAUCAUCAUUAACUUCAUAUUCAUCACAUUAUAUACAACGUCAUACAGCACGUAAUAAUCAAAUCAUAAACAUCAUCAUAUAAAAACCUAAUCAUCACAUCAUAAACAUCAUCUUAUAACAUCAUAUAGUUCACAUCAUAAACAUCAUCAUAUAACAACAUAAACAUCACAACAUAAACAUGAAAUAAGGUUAUAAGGUUGCACUCAAAAAGUUUUAGUGAUAGUCAACUAUGAGAAUAGGUCUAAUUACUGUUGAGAUACAUUCAUGUAAUCUUAUAGGAAACAUGAAAUACCAAAGAACAUCUUGUCCUUAGAAAUGAAUAGAGAAAUAGAUAUGGAAUGUUUAGGAUUUAACUUUAUGAUGAAAACCGCAAUCUCAUGACGCAUUUUUAUAUCUAAAUUUUAAUCAAAAAAAAUAAUUGCACUUAAUCAAUUUAUUUUUUUCAGCUAAUCAAAACUAAAAAUUAGAUUAGUAUUUACUUAAAGUCCAUGUGAAUCGAUAUUUUACUAGAACCGUACACUUGCGUAAACCUAUCAAAGACCCUAUUGAUGUAUAUGGAAUCGUAGUUACCUAUCAAAGCUACAAAAAAAAUUAGAUCGGAAUUGGGGUCUUUCUGACCAUUCUUGAAGUCGAAGGGGGUUCGUUUACUGGAUGUAGCAUCGAAGGCUUGAGUGAAGAGUUCGAAGGGGUGCACGGGUAUUCAAGGAUCUGAAGAUUCAAGAAGCACCAAAUUUAAGGGUUACUUGGAGUUUGGGGGAGUGUUUUACAUAGGAGUUGAAGAAUUAGGUUUUAAUUUCAAGGAACUUUUGUAAACACAUUUGUAUUCAACUAUUAUAAAAAUAUCGGUGUUAUCUCUCUUUCCCUAUCCUCUUUACUUUUAGCUAUUGCAUGUGAUUAAUUGAAUAAUUUUUAGAAUAAUUGCUAGUGUUGAUCUAAGUUAUUUUUCAUUGAAAAUCAAUCUAAUUCAUUGAAUUAGGUUUCAUAUAAUUUGCUUAGAUCAAUUGAUUGAAAAAUCUAUUCAAUUCUUCAAUUACACAUGUAUUGUGUUUUUGAUUUGAUAACUUAGUAAUUUUGUUCAUGUAGGUUUGGUUUGAAAUUGUCUAUUGUUUUGUACAUUGUUCAAGGAAUAUUAAAGUUUGAUUGUAUAAUAAGAUUUGUAUCGUGAAUCUCUCAAUUCUAAGAUUAAGUCUCAUUGCACAUAUAUUUGACCUUUUGAUUCCUUGAUUGUCAUUGUUCGACCACGAAUCCAAUAGUCAAUUUUGUUGAGAGAGAGAGAGAGAGAGAGAGAUUGGAUGGACGGGUGAUAUUAGUGCAGAACACAGCAAAAGAGAAUCGAAAAAAGAGGAUCUUGAUCCUUUUCUAAAGGAGAAUCAACCAUCUAUAUAAUGACAAUUUUAAACCCAUCAAGUACAAAAAUAACGAGCAAGGUGAAAAUAUAAACGUAACAUUGAACUAUUUUAUUAAAUGAUAAUAAACUUCAAAGGGUAAAAUUGGUUUUUAGAUAAACAUAUAAGGGGUUACUAAAAAGGGUUACAAGUUUUUUUUUUUUUUUGAAAGAAGGGAUACAAAUUAUAAGCUUGCGAAGAAAAGACGGUUAUCAAACACAGCCUAUGCAGCUCAUGAAGCUGCCAUAAAAAUUUUAAUAGUGGGGGAUGUUUAAUGAAGAUUAGUAGUAGUGUUACGUUAUUCAUGGAGCUAUAGUUAUAAAUAAUUUUAAAGUGGGUAAUGUUUAUUGAAGAUAGGGAGAUCGAAGCGGAAAUGCUGAAAAAUGAUGAUGGAAAAAUAUAAAUCGAUAUUAUCUUUUAUUUUAGUCAGAAUUUAAAUUUGGUAUUUUUCAGUAUCCAUGUCGGCGAUUUUGACUAAUUUUGAUUAAGUAAACGUCUUAGUUGACUUCAAUGACUAAAGUAACUAAGAACAAAGAGUGAAUGAUUUAAUUCGGGUUUUAUCUAAGUCAUUGACCAAAAUUACAUCUUGUUACACUUUUAAGGAGAAAAAUGGUUGUUUUCCCAAUAAUGUUUUCCAAUAUUAAAUUAAUGUUGUUUUCUGCCUUAGGGAUGUUACCAAUUUGUUAUGUUGGAGUUACCUUUAGUGCUAAGAAACCUUUAGACCAAUAAAAAUAUUUUGAGUCCCUUUUAAAGUGGUAAAUACACUAAUAUAAAGUCAUUGUCAAUUGAUGUUAGGACUAUUUAUUAAGAAUGCAAUAUUUACUUGUUGUUCUUUGGUAGACACUUAGAGUUCAUUUUUGUGGACUGUAUGAACUUGGUUAUAUCAUAGUUAACGUCGUAUUAGACAAACGGAAAUGAAAGACUCAUCUCUCACUCUACUUAGGACUAGCCAAUUGUCAAACUUGGUUACAAUUUAUUUUGUUUGGAAAACUUAAUUUGAAUUUUCUACAUGUCAUGAAAAAUUCAAAUUUCUGUUUUCUGAUUAGAAGAUCAAUAAACGGUUCAAUAUCAUCACAAUCUCCAAAUCAUAACUUCAUUCAUUUGCAAAUCUAGAGCACAUAUAUCACGAUUUUCUAUCAUGAUUUGCAUUGAUAUAAGUAAGUAUAACACAUAUAUUUUACUCUUAACUUAGCCAUACAUUGCGGAUUUACUUAGUAGAUAGAGUAAUGUUUUUUUUUAAACAACAAAUUUUAUUCAUAAGCUAACCCAACACAAGAAGUGAAGAGGCUAGAGGAAACACACAAGACAACAGAUACAUAAAGACAACUAAACCACCCAAACAAUCCUUAAUACAAUAGAAUAACAUCAGAAAAACCAGCCACCUAAACUUCCUAGUACCAUGAAACAAUGUCAGGUCGCGUUGAUUUUUAGGCUGGAGGGCAAUGUUUGUUUCGGAAGUUCUCGACUUUCUUCAACAAAGGGUAGUGCUUUUUGCAGAAAUCGGGUAUAUGGGGUAUAUGUACUGGUUUAUCUUUUGGGAUUAAAUUUUUGAUUUUUGGGAUUAAUGCUUCAACUGCGGGACCAAAGCUAACAGCAUCAGCAAAAUGUUGUUGAGGAGCAAGCAUAAAAGCAGCAAGGAAUAACACUAAUAAGGAUAAGAAAAAUGAAUUAGCCAUUUUAAGAAGUGAUAUAAUUAUUAGUGUUGGUGCAUAAUACAUAUGGAGUAUACUGGUUUUAUACUAGUUAGAGACUCAAUGUGAGUUUAUGGUCAAUCUAAGUCAUGUACUAAAUGUCAAAAUUGUGUAUGAAUUGAAUUAUUCAACAAUGUUACAUGUUCCUUCCAUGUAUUUGCUACUAGUUGAUGAUCAGUCCCUACCUAUCCUUUAAUUUUCCACACAACAAGACCAUUCAGUAAUAUUGGCUCUAUCUCUCCACUUGUUUGCCCACCAUGGUUUAGCUGAAAAAACAGUGCAACUUGUUUCAAUAACAUUAAUAUAUAUAGAUAUUACUAUUUAUAUAUGCAUUGAACCCUGUAUGAUUUAUUUAUUUAUAAAAAUUCCAAAUAGGUUACUUUAUUUGUCAUUUAUGCUUGAAUAUGAAAAUACAAAACAGUGUUUUUUCUCAUUAAAAUUUUUACUAUAAAGAUUUUUAAUAACUUAGUGUUUACCAAUUGCACUUACUAAUUCUUAAUUAUAGAAUGAUGAUUAAAAAUUGUAUGUUUCAUAACUGUUUUUCAUCACAAGUUUAUAGUUCACUUCUCAGACGUUAUUCCAAAUAACGUUUGAGAUUAUAGGUUAUCAUUUUAAUUUCAUGUUUACCUUUAUUAUUUUGUUUAAGAUUUAUUUUUAUCCUUUUUAAUAUAUACUAUUUAUAAAGAAAAUAUAGGGAUUUUGGGCUGACUUUUUUGUUAUUCCAAUUAUACCUUUAAAUAAAAAAAAAUCAAAUAAUGUGAUAUGGUUGGUGUUAAUAAAAAGAUAAGAAUUUUUGUUAUAUUAUUGUUGUCAUUGAGAAUCAUAAAUAUUGUUUGUUGAGUUUGUUACAUUUGAAAGUCACAUAUCAUACUUUUAAUUUUUGUCUAUAUCAAAAAAUUUAUAUAAAAUAUCGUUUGUAAUUUACACGCAGAAUUUCAAUAAAUUAUCGUAAAUAAUUUAUACACAUUAACGUAAUAAAAAGAGCAGAAAGAUGAACAUGUGAAUGCUCGUCUUUUCGCUAGUUUAUUAUAAAGAAUAUGCUAAAUGUUUGGUUCUUUUGUCAUACUACACAAAUUAUUUGGUAGCUUUAUAUAUAUGUUACUAAUGUUAAUUUCACUCUCACUUUAAUUAUGUUACUCCAGAGUCCCUCUGAAAUAAUGUUUCUCUUUUUGCCCUAAAACUUCUCUCUUGCCAUCCAAAAUUUAAAACUCCCAUAUUAUAUGAUUCAUGAAGAUUUUUUGCUUCAAAACAUUGAUCAGGUCUUUUCAAACACGGACAACAAGGUAGGGUAUCAUUCCUUCCCUUUAGUGUUAUUUGAAUCUUUUUUUUUUUUCUUCUGUAAACUAAAACCUUAUAGAUUAUAUAAUAAUCUGAAUCAAGUUGUUCCUGGUUUGGAUUAUAUAAUUUGACAUGCUUCUAUAUAUAUGUUGUUUUGUUAUUUUGUGGAUAUUUUUUUAUUUUUUUUAGACAAAAGAGGAAUUAAAUUAAAAUAGAAAAGGAGGUAUAAGAUUGGGGGCAAUGACCUGACCAGUAAACCACAAAAUCAAAAUACAACAAUUUCAGUACAAAGUGGUAUACAACGAACACAACCCUAAACAAUCACUACUACGGACAAUUCAGCGAACCCACGUAUGAGCGCCAAACCGAAUUGCAAAAAAAACGUAGAGUGAGUAUUCAGAACUUCUAAAUAGGCGUAUGGAUCGACUGCCAACACAAAAACGAUCCAAGAUCAAGCAGCUCCCAUCAAAUAUCAGCAAGCAAUAAACGCCCUUUCGGGCCAACCAUUCCAGUCGUAGUUCAGUUCGAGGGAUGAACAAACGACAUAAAUGUAAAGCAGUCCACUGACAACGCAUAAAGCAACCGUAGCAGAUAAAGUCCUGCAGGUACGACAUCAACAACUAUCGUCAACCAGAGCGUCUACGCACUUAGCCCUUUCGUGCAUAUCAGGCGAAACAAGUCUUGUUGAAUCCAGAUCGAGGGAUGGUAUCCAACCAAACAUCGCACAAAUGAACAGAACCAUAACCAAAUCUUAAAUCCAGACAAACCAAAUUCAAAAUUUCAACUAAACCGGAUAGCCAGAAUAAGACCACCACCAAUCUUCAUCUUCCCGAAACAACAUAAAACACCAUUCGAUUCUUCAUGGUCUUCUUCUUUCAAACUAGUGCGUCUUCCUGGAACCGCCAUUGAUGUGAAAUUCGACUAUCUUUGCCGCCGCUUCAACUUCAAACUACUAUGCCAUUGACGCUUUUAAUUUAGUGGGAGAAAAAAGAAAAAGAUCGAAAUGAAAGUAGAAGAAGAAGGUUUGGUGUGUGUUUUUGAAGAAGAAGACGAAGAAAAAAAAAAGUUUGUGUUGUUACGUGUGAGAGGGUGUGGUGGUAAGCUUGUAUAUGAGAGAGAAAUAUAUGUCUAGAGUUUUGAUGUCUAAAGAAGACCACAAUUAAUGUGACAUUGGAAAAUGAAAGGGUGGAUGCAUGGGUACCAAAAUCUCAUAAUUAUUUGUUGGAAGAUGCAUAAGGAAGAGAGAGUUAUCCCCAAUAAAUGAGAGUGGGGAAUAGUUGAAAGAAGUGGCUUUUACAAAGUAGAAUGCUGAUUAGAAUUAACAAUUAAGUGUAGAUGAUCAACGGUUGAUGUUGAAUGGCGCCUAAAUGAUGAUCAGCAUCCAAUGGCUUGCAAAAUUGGAGAGAAAAAUGAGGGGGGAAAAUUAGGGUUAAGGAUAGCUUCGGGGGAUAAGCUUUAGUAAGUAAGAUUGUCUUAUAUACUUACAUUAUUUUAGGUCUAAAUUUCAGAAACCAUUAUUUGACAAUUUUUUUGACAAUUUUAUCUCACAUACUCACAUUAUAUUUUUACUUCUCUUUUUGUUGUUUUGGUUUUUAUUUUCAUACCUAAUUUUCCUUGUAAAUCUAUAGUUGUCUCAUAAAUUAUCGUUAAAAUUGUUGUUCAAAUAACACAACUCUUAUUUCUAAUACUCAAAAUUUGUUCAAAUUAAGUUUUUAAAGAACUUCUAAUAAAGUCAGAUUAAAGUUUUUUUGAACUUUUUAAAUACUUAAAUUGAAUUUUCUCCAAUAUACAUAUUAGAGAAAGAAAAAAAAUAAUGAUAGGAGGGAGAUGCAAAACUUAUGUUUUCUUUCUCUAGAAACAUAUUUUGAGUUUUCAAUAUCAUCAAAAUCUCAAAAUCAUAAACUUUAUUUAUUUGCAAAUCUAGAGCACAUAUAGCGCGAUUUUCUCUCAUAAUUUACAUUGAUAUAACACAUAUUAUGUUCUUACCUUGCCCAAACAUUCGGGAUUUAAUUGAUGAUGUAAAAGACGUUUUUAAAUGUAGAAUAAGAAAGAUGGAAAACCUCCAAGCCAAAUUAUACACAAGAUAUACAAAUUAUACACAAAAAUUUCAAAUUUCAAUUUUCUCGAGAGUAUUCUUAAAUGAUCAAUCAAUGAUUCAAUAUAAUCACAAUCUCAAAAUCAUAAACUUUAUUUAUUUUCAAAUCUAGAGCACAUAUAGCGGGAGGAGAUUGUCUCGUGUGAUUUUUCUCUCAUGUGUAAUCCAGACCCUCCAUUAAAUAUGUGAGAUAAUGUGUUUGUAAUAUAAAAUGACCGAACGCAAGAUAAAUUGUUUUUUUCUAAACAAUAAAUUUUAUUCAUAAGCAUUCCCGUGAGCUUAGCUCAGUUGGUACGGAUAUUGCAUUUUAUAUGCAGGGGCUGAGGUUCGAACCCCAGACACCCCACUUCUCCACAAUUAAAUUGUGUGAGCUCUAACCACUAGACUACUUGACCAAGAAAAAAAGAAAUAUUCAUAAACUAACCCAACACAACACAAGAAGUGAAGAGGCUAUAGAGGAAAGACACAGGGUAACAAUACAUAAAGACAACUAAACCAAGGCUAAAAAGCCACAACACAUGUAAAUGGCUUAUCACAGCAGAAAACAAGGUAUAUCAAUAUCAUGUGUGACUACAAAACCGCCCAAACAACCCUUAAUACAAUAGAAUCACAGCAGAAAACACCCUUAGUAGAUAUUGAUAUGCCUUGCCGCGUUGAUGUUUUAGAAAUGUGCAGGUGGAGGGCAAUUACUGGGUCGGUUAUGCCCGUUUUUCCUCGAGCAGGGAUUUAAUGAGGGCUUUUGGGAUGGUUUAGGACGAGGGAAAGGUACUGGUUUGGAUGGAGUGAAAUGGGGUAAAUGCUUUAUGAUUCCUGGAGGGAGAUGUAUGGCAUCAACAGCAAAAUGUUGAGGAACAAACAUAAGAGCAGCAAGGAAUAACACUAAUAAGGAUAAGAAAAAGGAUUUAGCCAUUUUAAGAAGUGAUAUAAUUAUUAGUGUUGGUGCAUAAUACAUAGGGAGUUAAACUGGUUUUAUACUAGUUAGAGACUCAAUGUGAGUCUAUCGUCAAUCAAAGUUAAAAUUGUGCACGAAUUGAAUUAUUCAACAAUGUUACAAGUUCCAUGUAUUUGAUACUAGCUGAUGAUCAUUUAGUAUUAUUGGCUCUAUCUCUCCACUUGUUUGCGCACAUGGUUUACCUGAAAAAACAGUGUACUGGAGGUGCAACUUGUUUUAAUAGCAUUUUUUGUUGAGCACAUCAUGAGACAACACCGACAUCCUAACUAGAUUAGUAUUUCAGGACGCCUCCGUCCUAUGCCUGCCAAUCUCUAAAUUUUAUUAAAAAAGGGUAAAAAUAUAUACAAGGAGAGUGAGGACUAGGCCAAAAUCCUCAAUGAAAAAACCAAAGGAAACAAUAAAAAAUAAAGCCUACUGAAAUCUAUAAUUGGGUGAGCCAAUUCUGUCUCUAUAGAAGUCGAAAUGCAACUCUGCACGAAGCGUGUCUAACCAAACAGAACCCUGAAUAUCAUGACCCUCGGACAUUCCAAUAUAACAUCAUUGGGAAGAUGGAGGAAGACCACUCUUUCCAAGGAUUUGAUAAUGCGGCUUUCCGAAGACUUACUUCUUCAUAUUUAACGCGGCUUUUUUGAGAGAACUUGCGUAAAUCCUUUCUUUACGGCCCGUUGAUCGUAUUCUUUGAUUCUGGCCCAUAAAUCCAAGUCAUUCUGUACGUUUUUGCUAGUGUUUUAAUAACAUUAAUAUAUAGAUAUUACUAUUUAUAUAUGCAUUGAACCUGUAUGAUUUAUUUAUAAAAAUUCCAAAUAAAUUACUUUAUUUGUCAUUUAUGCUUGAACAUAAAAAUACAAAACAUUGUUUUUUCUCAUUAAAAAAUUUAAUUAAUUUAUAAAGCUUUUUAAUAAAUUAGUGUUUACCAAAUUGCACUCAUUAAUUCUUAAUUAUUGAAUGAUUGUAAACUCAUUUUAGAACCUCCAAAAAUGAAGAAAGCUCAUUCUUAGGACAACACAAAAUGGAAAACACUCAAGAUUGUUGGCAUAUUGGUAGACUAUUUCUAUCUGACAAAUUCAAUAAGCUAGUUUAUAGUUUAUAAGUCCGAAUGAUUAAAAAAUGUAUGUUUCAUAACCGUUUUUUCAUCACAAGUUUUAUAGUUUAUUUUAUUAGUUUGUAGCUUAUUUUUUAGACGUUAUUUUAAAUAACGUUUGAGAUUAUAGUUUAUCAUUUUUAUUUGUGUUUACCUUUAUUAUUCUGUUUAAGAUUUAUUUUUAUCCUUCAUAAUCUAUACUACUACCGUUUAUUCUGUUUGACAUUAUAGUUUAUUUUUAUUUGUAGUAUAUAUAAAGAAAAUAGGGGGAUGUUAGGCUAGCUUUUUUGUUACUCUAAUUAUACCCUAAAAUAAAUAAAAAGUCAAAUAAUAUUAUAUUGUUGGUGUUAUUAAAAAGAUAAGAAUUUUUGUUAUAUUAUUGUUGUCAUUGAGAAAGAUAAAUAUGGUUUAUUGAGUUUGUUACAUUUGAAAGUCACAUAUAUUUAUACUUGUAAUUUUAAUCUAUAUCAAAGAGUUUUUAUAAAAUAUAGGUUGUAAUUUACACGCAGAAUUUCUAUAAAUUAUCGUAGAUAAUCUAUACACGUUAACGUAGUAAAAAGAGAAGAAAGAUGCGCACGUGAGUGCCCGUCUUUUCACUAGUUUAUUAUAAAGAAAAUGUUAAAAUGUUCAAUUAUUUUGGUCAUACUGCACGAAUUAUUUGGUAGCCUGGCAUAUAUGUUACUAAUGUUAAUUUCACUCUCACUUUAAUUAUGUUACUCCACAGUCCUCUAAAAUCGUGUUUCUCUUUUUGCCCUAAAACUUCUCUUUUAUGUUACUCCACAAUCCUCUAAAAUCGUGUUUCUCUUUUUGCCCUAAAACUUCUCUUUUUGAUUAUUCAAUCCGAAUCAAGUUGAUCUGGUUUGGAUUAUAUAAUUUGAACUGCUUUUAUAUAUGUUGUUUCUUUAUUUUGUGGAUAUUUGUUAAUUGUUUGUACAUCUGAUUUUAACACUUUCAAAUAUUGACCGCAUGGGCUGUGUUAGGAACGAUAGAAUUUCCUUGACUGCAUCUUCUAGGUGAGAGCGUAUGUAGAAGAAUGUAGUGGAAAGGAGAGUGGUCAAGGGCAUGGGCAUGGGCCGCAAUGCUGAGACGCAGAGAGGUCGUCAGUUCCUAGACAUUAGUGGACAGUUACGGCGCAUCGAGGAACAUGUCAGAAGUAUUUAACUUUUUUAGUGAAGAUUUUUUUAAUUUAGAAUUUUUAAAGAGUGUCUCGAAAACACUCAUUAGCAAGACUGAUAAGUUGUAGUUUAUGGUGUUUUUAUCAUUUAAAUUCAAUAAUAUGUACGUUGUUUUAGUUUUAAUUUAGAUUCAUUUUACUGGAAAACAUUAGUUUUUAUUUUCAUAAUCAAAAUUAUGAAGAACAUUAUACCUAGAUUAAGAGCGAGGAAAAAGAGCCAUGAAAGAGCCAUAAAGCAGCAGCACGGAUGGUCCGUGGUUCCAUCUAGGUCGUGGAGUUCUUAAAAUGUCAAAAUUUCAAAAGUUGAAGUACAAGCACAACCGUGUGCCCCAACACGGUAGAAACAAGCAUGAUUGUGCACUUCAGAAGCACGACUUUUGCACCCCUCAAAACACAACAAAAUGUCAAAAGUUGGAAAGGUGAGCAUGACCGUGCACCCUUGAAGCACGACCGUGAGUCUUGUGCAGAGAAAAAUAGUUGUUACAACCUCUUAAAGUUCUUUGGUUCAUGGCUUGUAACUUGUUUUUAAUAUAUUUGUCUGAGGCUCUAGGCUAUAAAUAUACCUCACUUCUAAGGAAAAAAGAAUCUUAGAUACUUGUAAACUUACUCUAAAGUUGAAAGCAUAAUUUUGCAAUGUUUUAAGUUCUUUGUUCUUUAUUUUUCAUUUCUUUACAUUUGUAUUCUUUACUUUUCUGUUCUUUACAUUUUCAGUAUUUUAUCUUCAUGUCUUUAUAUUUUAAUCACAUGUCUAUUAUGAUCAUAUGUUAGUAAACAAACUAUUCUAGUCUUGGAAUUGUUAGAAUAAUCAAUCUAAUGAUUGAAUGUUAAUCAACCCAAGUCUAGACUCUAUUUUAUAAGAAUCCAUUUUAUAAUCUAAUAUCAUCGUUACUAAAUUUUAUUUUAUAAUCUAAUAUCAUUGUUAUGAAAUUUUAUAACAAGUAUCAAACAAAGAACUGAGAGUUGAUGUUUGAUAUUGUUAUUUAAUCAUGUCUAAGAUAUCAAACGAAGGACCGAGAGGUGAAAUUUGAUAUUGGAAUAAAUGAGAUUGUAAGAGAUAAGCAAAAUAUGAAAAUAAUUUUAUGACUCUUAGGACAAUAAGGUUAUAAGGUUGCACUCGAAAAGUUUCAAUGAUAAUCAACUAUGAGAAUAGGUUUAAUUACUGUUGAGAUACAUACAUUCAUGUAAUCUGAUAGGAAACUGAUAGAAUAUGUGUUACUUAGUCAUGUAAUUUGUAUUAUUAAAAGAAUAUUAAUACGUAUUCAUUGUGUUAAUUAGUCAUUCAUUUUGUAUUCAUUAGUCAUUAAGAGAAUGAUAACAAUUUGAUGUAUAUAAUGCACUCAGAUUAUCAAUGAAAAUCAUUCAGCUAUUUUCCUAUAUGGUAUCAGCUAGGUUUUAGAUCCUCUCCUACUUCUUCUAGCCGCCCACCACCACCUUUUCUUCCCUAUACUUCCGUUAUAAACCGCCAUCCAUGGCUACCUCAACAACAGCUGAAUCAACCACUCUCUCAACAAAUUCCUCUCCCGUGACAGACACAUUUGUCUCAACGGCACCAUCAUCAAAAAUUCACUCGGCCUUCACUAUCAACAACGUGAAGUCUAUCAUUCCCGUAACCUUGCACAAUGGCAGAAUGCUUUUCAUUGAUAAUCUGAGUGCAUUAUAUACAUCAAUUUGUUAUCAUUCUCUUAAUGACUAAUGAAUACAAAAUGAAUGACUAAUUAAUAUAAAUGAAUACCUAUUAAUAUUCUUUUAAUAAUACAAAUUACAUGACUAAGUAACACAUAUUCUAUCACUCCCACGCAGUUGAUGCGGGAGGUUGUCGGACGCUGAGUCUGUCCCUAAAAUCUUGAAAUAAAACCAAUGGGAGACCCUUAGUGAAGAUAUCUACAAUUUGAUAGCGUGAUGGAACAUGUAGGACACGGAUGUCUCCACGAGCUACUUUUUCACAAACAAAAUGAAUGUCCAUUUCGAUAUGUUUUGUGCGUUGGUGCUGGACGGGAUUUCGGAUAGAUAUAUGGCACUAACAUCCUUAUUAUCUAAUCCUAAACUACAAUGCACACAACAAUUGCAAAACCCUAAUCCUUGGUUUUGAGCGGGAAAAUUGUGAUUUAACCACAUUUAAUGGCAUUUUUGAAUUUCAAAUCAUGUACCCUUUUGAAAUGUGUGCAUAUGUGCCUAAUUAAUGCAGAUUUUGAAAUUCAAAUAUCCCACCACUUGGAAUUGUGCUCGCUUCUUUCCAAGACAUGCAGUUACCCACUUCUCAAUGCAAAAGCAUCUGAACCAAACAAACCUAUUUCCUUGCAUUUUGCUCUUUCUCCCUCUCUCUCACUCCCCUCUCACGCCCAUUUUUCUCUAAUCAGAAAAGGUCAACGAUUUUCAGUCCCUCUUCUCUUCUCUCUCACUCCAGUUUUCUCUCAAAAAAAAGCCUCUUCUCUUCUCCCACGUUAUUUUUUUCUUCAUUUUCUAACAUUCUUCUUCAAUUCUCCAUCUCUCUCUCUCAUUGUUUCUCGCGUAGCUCUUCGUGUCUUAGUUUGGGUGUUCUCUUCAUCGCCGGUCAGCCUCACCAAGGCAAUAAGCAUCUUCAAGUUUUAUUGAAAGAGAAUGCUUCUAUGCAACAAAAUUUUCAAGACCUUCGAUCCCUCGGUAUGCGUUUUCAGUUUCGUUACGUUUUGAUUGAUUUUGAUUUCGCGAUUAGGAUUUUGGUAUCACCGGUGUUGUUUUGAUUGAUUUUUCCGAUUUGAUAGGAAAGGAGCUUGAAGAAGGUGGAGUUCUCAGUGAAUCGGCACUGUCGCGGAAGGUUUUUCUUUUCAUCAACGAUCUUCUCUCUCAUUCUCUCUCAUUCGCUGCUCUUCUACUAAGCUUUGAUUGUGGAACGUAUGAAGGCAGAGUGACAUCUGAUAACGAUCAGAAUCAAGGCUACUAAGCUUAGAUUAUGGCUUCUAGGGGCAGAGGAAAAUGAGGAAGAAAAAGCACCAUCAAUUACAAUCUGCUCUACAUGUAUAAUGUUUUCCGUAUUCGAAUUAUUUCAAAUUGCAAGUAAUUUAAAUUGAGUUUUAAGGUAGUUUUCUUUGACUGCAAGUAUAAGGGGCUUAUUUCACAAGGUUAUACUUAGAUGUGUAUAUUCACUAUUGAAGCUUAUUUUGAGUUUCCGUGAUGACUUACUUUAUCGAAAUCACGGUGUGCCGCCGCGAUUUAGAAAAAGUUAUAGGGUGCAGCUUUUACAAUAACUAAAAAUUAACUAAUGAUUUGCCUGAAGUUUCUAAUUCUUUUUAUUGGUCCGAUUACAGUCCCUCUCUGAUGAUUUUCUACAACUAUCAGAUUUGAUUGAAUCAACUAAGGUUAAUUAUUUUGUCCAUAAUUUUUGCAAGAUAACUCUUCAGUCUACUGUUUUAGGUCAAAAUUAAUUUAUUUUGUGUAUAGAACAAUAGUUAUGCAGACCACCCAUUUCAAUAGGAUAAUGUCAAAAUUAAUUUAUGCAGACCAUCCAUUUCAAUAAUCAAUAAUGUUUUUUUGGGUUUGUUUGUAUAAUAGCAGGUUUUUUAAGAUUUGUUUUGUGUAUAAUGUGUCAUUUCACUCCACGUAGCCAAUCUUAGUGUUUGUUCAUGAAUAGAAAGUGGCUCAUAAAACAAUUUAAGGGUUCGAUUGUUCUAUAUUAUCUUUGCUCAUCUCUCUUAGUGUUUGAAAUUAGUUCAAAGAGUGGUCUAAAAAUUCUGCUAACAUAUGAGGAUGACGCUUGCAUUGAUAGUUUUUUUUUUUAAAAAAAAAAAAAAAAUCGCAUUGUAUACACAUAAAUUCCUUGAAAUAUAAUUGUAUACACAACGUACACUACAUACGAGGUCAACUUUACGUCGCAAUAUCCAAGGUGACCUCCAGGAAUGGGUUGAAGAUUUUAAUGAAUGAUGAUAAUAGUAAUAGCAUGAAUAGCACUUCAAAUGUAGUUAUAAGGAGAUUUUCUGCAAUCUACCGAUUUAAGGUCUUUUUUAAUGUAUUUUUUUUAGAAACAAUUUAUUUUGUACCGCAAGCAUAUUUAAUUUCAAUACAUUUUGUAAUAGCAUAUUUUAUUUUGUACAGCACGGGUGGAUGGUCUAGUUAUCACAAUAAACUAAACUAGCCUUGUGAAUGGGGAAAUGUAAUUCCAAAAGCAAGUUUCAUAACCAACAAGAUUCAGAAACCGCAUUGGAACCCCUCGAUAUUCUGCUUCAGCACUUGAACGAGAUAAAGUAGGUUGUCGUUUGGAAGACCAUGAGAGUAAGUUGUCACCAAGAGAUACACAGCAACCAGAGGUGGAUCGUCAGGUAUCUAGGCAACUUCCCCAAUCUGCAUUGUGUAAACAAUCAAUGAUGAUGUAGAAGAAGAGUAAAGUUGCAGUCCAUACUCGCGUGUGCCCUGAAUAUAUCUCAGGAUGCGUCAAAGGGUGUGCAUGUGAUCAUCCAUUGGAUUGUGCAUAAAUAAACAUAUUUGUUGCACUGCAUAAGAAAUGCCAGGCCUUGUGAAGGUGAGGUAUUGUAGGGCGCCAGCAAGGCUGCGAUAUAGAGAAAGGUCUUCAAAUGGGGUGCUAGUUUUGGCUCUCAUCUUUGGUUUAGUAUCAACCGUUGUAGGACAUGGUUUACAAGAAGCCAUUCCAGCACGAUCAAUAAUUUCUUCUGCAUAUUUUUUCUGAGACAAAAAUAAGCCACCAGGAUGACGUGUGACAGCAAUACCCAAAAAAUAAUUCAACAAUCCCAAAUCUUUCAUAGCAAACUCGGAACUAAGGAGUGAUAUGAUAGACUUUCAAAGGUCGUCAGAGGAAGAGGAAGCAGUAAGAAUGAUAUCAUCUACAUACAGUAUGAGGUAGGCCAAAAGGUGGGUUUUUCCUAUAUGGUAUCAGAAAAACUCUGCUUCCCGGAACUCUGGCAGAGGUGGUCGAAAUGGUACUGGUAAUUAUUGAUCUAUAACAAUAACCAUAUACGAAGACUACCUCAAAAAAAAAAAAAAAAAAAACGUACGAAGGAGAAUCAACCAUCUGGAUAAUACAUAUCCUUAUUUUAUUUAUUUGAAUUUGAAUGGCAACCACCAAAGCCACAUAUAGAAAGAAUAUUUUCCUACCAAUCGUACAUGAUGCCCAUAACAAAAGAUAGGUUCCAUAAUAUGGCCCCAUAAUAUCCUUAUCCUUAUAAUUAUGGUUCAGAAAAUAAAAAACCUCGUUAAGUUUUAGGAUUAUUUUAAGUUGAUAAAUAUUAACGAGUAUCUUCAGAGCAUUUUUCAAACAUCUAAAGUGGUAAGAUUUUAUGAAAGUUGAGCAUUUAUUAUAUUGGAAAUUGAAGUCUUUACAUUUCUUUUAAAAAUAAUUUUUUCAUUAUAAAUGCUUAAAAGGUGCUCCAUGGACAUUCAUUAACAGGACUCUUUUAAAUUUUAGAAUGUUAGCAUUUCCCUAAAACACAUGUUAAAGAUAGAGAUAUAUUAUGGCCUCUCACGGUAGCACCCGCCUACGUAGCGAGUUUAUGGUCAAUCUAAGUCAUUUACUAAAUGUCAAAAUUAUGUAUGAAUUGAAUUAUUCAACAAUGUUACAAGCUCCAUGUAUUUGCUACUAGUUGAUGAUCACUAACUAUCCUUUCAUUUUCCAUACAACUAGACCAUUUUUUUUUAGUAUUAUUUGCUCUAUCUCUCCACUUGUUUCCACAAAUAUGAUUAAUUUUUUUCGAAAAUUUUGUUUUUUUAAAUAUGAUAUUAUGGAAAACAAAAUUCGAAAAUUUGAAUAUAUAUUAAUCUUUUCCACAAUUUUUUUAAAUAUUUCCCGAUUAUUUUUAUAAUUUUUCCAGAUUUUUUUCAUUAUUUUUUAUUUUACCAGAUUUUUUUAAUCAUUAUUAAUUUUUACAUUUUUUUUUUAAAUUUUUCAGUAUUUUUUUUAAUCAUUAUUCGUUUUUUAAAUUUUUUUAUUUUUAUUUUAAAAAAAUCACAAAUGCCACGUGGCGUUCAUUUACACGCGUGGCAUGAAAAAAAUUAAACAAAAAAAAAUUGACACGUCACUGCCACGUAGUAGAUUCUGCCGACACAUUGAGGUGAGGGGUCAAUCCUGAAGAAUCUUCAUUUUUCAAGGGUGGAAUCUAAAAAAAAAAAAUUACAGGGGCUAAAACCAAAAGUGCAUUAUAUUACAAAGGCCAAAAACACUAUUAACACUAUAUUAUUACUUCUUCUUUUUUAUAAAAAUCCAAAUAAAAAUCAUUUGCAUUGCAGCCAAUUGGCCAAAUGCAACAUGACAAGCGCAAAAUUGCUCCAUGUUGACUUGUGAGAACUCUUGUUCUAGAUAGAGAACCUUAUAGUUUUUGUUGUCACAGAAAAUGUUAAACAACUUUUUCCAUGCAAUUUAUGCGUCUGAAUCGCGCUUGAUGAUGGUGAUGAGAAUAUAUUCUGAGGUGGUGUCAUAUAUCCAUUAUAAUACGACAACAUCAAAAAGCGGCCAAAGAUUGGGAUUGAUUUCUUUGAGAGAGGGAGUUGUUGGCUUAUUAGUGGGUGAGGGAGGAAUGAUGUGAUGAAAGACUUGAUGAACCCUUGCAUGAAUUUUAAAGAGUUCGAACCACGUAUUAUAUUGGACCCUUUUUUAUACUAAACGUAACCUUGAUGAAAUUGGUGAUAAUUGAAAAUGGUGGUAGAGGGAUGGAUAGGUGUGGAAGGAGUUGGGGUUGAAAUUGUCCUUCGAGUGGUAGUAUUUUUGGGGAUGAUUCGGCCCUGAUGGUGAAUGAAGGAGAAGAGGAACGAUGGCGCUGUAUUAGGUUUACGAGAGAAGGAUGAGUACCAACAACUUACUGAUACCAUGUAAGAAUUAUAAUAAGAUAAUUAUUAGUCGUGUGUCAUUUGCAUUGAGAGGAUCCGUUGACACUAGGUGUCAAACUUUAGUUUGACAUCAAAUCUCAACCGUCUAUUAUGUCUAAUCUAAUGGUCUGUGAUUAUUUAUUAAAUUAACUUGUGUGAUCUUUUUCCCAUGUCUCACCUGAUCCCACGCCGGCUGUUCUGCUCCAUCUCCUUCAACUUAUCAAAGUUAAUAUGGCCAACAAUCAAAUACACACACAAAUUAAUUCUUUUUUUUUUUUAAAGAAGAAGAAGCUAAAUUAGCCCACACAAAUUGGCACCGGAGAGAAUCGAUCCUGAGACCUCGAGGAGGAGCACACUCCCAGAUCCCAAGUCAAUACCACCAGACCAACCCAAAUGAUAAAUAAGGAGUUAAUUCUAAAUAAGGAGUUAUACAUAUAAUUACAUAUUGUUGACAUUAAUUGUUCUCUGUGGGGCAAGAUACUUGAGGUGUAAGUUUCAUAAGAUGCAAGUUCUUUUAAGUCUAAAUUGUCUUAUACUUACAUUAUUUUAGGUCUAAAUUUCAGAAACCAUUAUCACAAAUUUUUUGACAAUCUUAUCUCACAUACUCGUACUAUAUUUUUACUUCUCUUUUUGUUGUUUUGGUUUUUGUUUUCAUACCUAAUUUUCCUUGUAAAUCUAUAGUUGUCUCAUAAAUUAUCGUUAAAAUUGUUGUUCAAAUAACACAACUCCUAUUUCUAAUACUCAAAAUUUGUUCAAAUUAAGUUUUUAAAGAACUUCUAAUAAAAUCAGAUUAAGUUUUUUUGAACUUUCUAAAUACUUAAAUUGAAUUUUCUCGAAUAUACAUCUUGGAGAAAGAAAAAAAAUAAUUAUAGGAGGGAGAUGCAAAACUUACGUUUUCUUUCACUAGAAACAUAUUUUGAGUUUUCAAUAUCAUCAAAAUCAUAAACUUUAUUUAUUUGCAAAUCUAGAGCACAUAUAGCACGAUUUUCUCUCAUAAUUUACAUUGAUAUAACACAUAUUAUGUUCUUACCUUGCCCAAACAUUCGGGAUUUAAUUGAUAAUGUAAAAGAUGUUUUCAAAUGUAGAAUAAGAAAGAUGGAAAACCUCCAAGCCAAAUUAUACACAAGAAUAUAAAACAAAGCAUUUACUUGGUAGAUAAUAUUUUCUUUUUAAACAGCAAAUUUUAUUCAUAAUAAGAUAACCUAACACAAGAAGUGAAGAGGCUAUAGGGGAAAGACACAAGGUAACAAUACAUAAAGACAACUAAACCAAUGCUAAAAAUCCACAUCACAAAACCACCCAAACAACCCUUAAUACAAUAUAAUCACAGCAGAAAAACCUUAACCAAAUCAAGCAAACACACCCAGACCUUCCCCUAACACAAAAUCAAACCAGUUUCCAUCAACACCACAUCAAUAGACCCCUUAAAUAAUUGAACAAAAACCAGCCACCUAAACUUCCUGGUACCAGUAAAUUACAAUUACUUAGUAGAUAUUGAUAUGUCUUGUUGCAUUGAUGUUUCAGAAAUGUGUGGCUGGAGGGCAAUCUUUGGGUCGUAACUUCCACAAUAUCUUCGAGCAGCGAUUGAUUUUGGGAGUUUUGAAUUUUGGGAAGGCAGCAUCAACAGCAAAAUGUUGAGGAGCAAGCAUAAAAGCAGCAAGGAAUAACACUAAUAAGGAUAAGAAAAAGGAAUUAGCCAUUUUAAGAAGUGAUAUUAUUAUUGUGUUGGUGCAUAAUACAUAUGGAGUUAACUGGCUUUAUACUAGUUAGAGACUCAAUGUGAGUUUAUGGUCAAUCUAAGUCAUUGUGUAUGAAUUCAAUCAUUCAACACGUAGGUUCCAUGCAUUUGGAAAACUAGUUGAUGAUUAAAA